rnacentral:snRNA from 1 species
UGACUCAGGUGAUGAAACCUGUGUCACUAGCCUUGUAUGUUCUCUUCCUGAGACAGGUGAGGCCCUUUGUGGAUUUUUGAAGCUACAGCAUGUACAUUCAAUAAGACCUCUGCGAUUUCCCCAAAUGUGGGAAACUCGAUCGCAUAAUUUGUGGUAGUGAGGGACUGCGUUCACGCUCUUUCCUG